rnacentral:rRNA from 1 species
UAGGGAAUAUUGCAAAAUGGGCGAAAGCCCGAUGCAGCAACGCCGCGUGGGCGAUGAAGGCCUUCGGGUCGUAAAGCCCUUUUUGAGGGGAUGAGGAAGGACAGUACCCUCAGAAUAAGCCUCGGCUAACUACGUGCCAGCGGCCGCGGUAAAACGUAGGAGGCGAGCGUUGUCCGGAUUUACUGGGCGUAAAGCGCGUGCAGGCGGAUUGGAGAGUUGGAUGUGAAAGCUCCCGGCUUAACUGGGAGAGGUCGUUCAAUACUUCCAGUCUUGAGUGCAGUAGAGGGAAGUGGAAUUCCGGGUGUAGUGGUGAAAUGCGUAGAUAUCCGGAGGAACACCAGUGGCGAAAGCGGCUUCCUGGACUGUAACUGACGCUCAGACGCGAAAGCUAGGGUAGCAAACG